UAUCUCUGUAGAGUCUGCAUAUCAAUAAGCGGAGGAAAAGAAACUAACAAGGAUUCCCCUAGUGACGGCGAGUGAAGCGGGAAGAGCUCAAAUUUGAAAUCUUCAAGGUUUGACCUUGACGAAUUGUAGUUUAAAGAAGUGUUUUCGGUUAGAGGAGUAGUAAAAGUUCUUUGGAAUAGGACAUCAUAGAGGGUGAGAAUCCCGUAUUUGACUAUUCUUUCUAGCUUUGUGAUACACUUUCAAAGAGUCGGAUUGUUUGGGAAUGCAGUCCAAAAUGGGUGGUAAAUUUCAUCUAAAGCUAAAUAUUGGCGAGAGACCGAUAGCGAACAAGUACCGUGAGGGAAAGAUGAAAAGAACUUUGAAAAGAGAGUUAAACAGUACGUGAAAUUGUCAAAAGGGAAGCGUUUGACACCAGUGUUGUUUUCCGAAAAUCAAUUAAAAAUUGAUUCAUGCCAGGUUGUAUUGACCUCAUCAGCUUGCAAUGCUUAGGUUUUGGGUCAUUUUUUGAUGCACUUUUCGGUUAACAAGUCAACAUCAAUUUCCUUUGCUGUAAAAAGGUAAGAGGAAGGUGGCUUCAAUUUCGGUUGAAGUGUUUAUAGCCUUUUAUCUCUGCAGUCGGGGAGAUUGAGGUCUGCAGCGUAGAUCCUUCGGGGCUAGAUACAUUUAUGCUAAGUUAUAGCUUUUCAUAGACAACUUGUUGACUAUGUUUAGUCAUGUAGCUUACUCGUAAGUGCUAUUUUACCUACGCUUAGGAUGUUGAGCGCAUGUCUCUCUCU
rnacentral:rRNA from 1 species